rnacentral:rRNA from 1 species
CCUACGGGAGGCAGCAGUGAGGAAUAUUGGUCAAUGGACGAGAGUCUGAACCAGCCAAGUAGCGUGAAGGAUGACUGCCCUAUGGGUUGUAAACUUCUUUUAUAUGGUAAUAAAAUGUUCCACGUGUGGGAUUUUGUAUGUACCAUAUGAAUAAGGAUCGGCUAACUCCGUGCCAGCAGCCGCGGUAAUACGGAGGAUCCGAGCGUUAUCCGGAUUUAUUGGGUUUAAAGGGAGCGUAGGUGGAUUGUUAAGUCAGUUGUGAAAGUUUGCGGCUCAACCGUAAAAUUGCAGUUGAAACUGGCAGUCUUGAGUACAGUAGAGGUGGGCGGAAUUCGUGGUGUAGCGGUGAAAUGCUUAGAUAUCACGAAGAACUCCGAUUGCGAAGGCAGUUCACUGGACUGCAACUGACACUGAGGCUCGAAAGUGUGGGUAUCAAACAGGAUUAGAUACCCGAGUAGUC